CAGUGAAAAGCCAAACUAGAGGCAUUUAACUGUUAAUUAAAAAACUGAAAUAAUUAUUUCUUCACUGG
rnacentral:tRNA from 1 species